rnacentral:lncRNA from 10 species
UUAUCUGAAAAGGCAGUAAUAGAUCCUUGAGUCUUCGAAUCAGAAUACAAGCUAAAUACUAAAUGUGCUAAAGCAGUGUAAGACUGGAUGUUGCUGGGUACUGAGGAAGGCCGGAAGGACUAGGAUGGAGCGUCAAGGAAGGCCUCGGGGGCAAGAGGAAGAAGACGUUGACUUAGGUGUGCUCGGUGCAGGGGCUGAUGGCAGAGCUUUAUGUGGAAGGAUCCUGUGAGCAAACAGCCCCAGGAGCCCGCGGAGGGGGUAGAAGAGAACGUGAGCUAUUGCCAGAGCCAGCUUCAGUCCUCAGGUUGGGCACAUCAGUAGCUGAGAGACUCCUCUGACCAUGGCCAGCCUCAGGAAGUGAGUGUCAACAGCCUUGCAGAUGGGAACUCAACUCCUGGGUACCCAUGCCUGAAAAGACAAUUUCGCUCUUGAUGCCCAGGCUGGAGUGUAAUGGCAUGAUCUCAGCUCACUGCAACCUCCGCCUCCCAGAUUCAAGCAAUUCUUCUGCCUCAGCCUCCCAAGCUGGGAUUACAGGCAUGUGUCACCAUGCACCUCUUGCACCCGGUCUCCUUCUCAGAGUCUGAUGCCCAGGAAAUCUGAUCUGUGGCAGUGUGGGGAUUCAUCCAAGAAUGAAGACUGUUUGUAAAUUGAGAUUUGAGGGUGGAAUCAUCCACUGGCCAGCCAGCUGUGAGGACCAGCCGCUGGUGGUUGGGGGUGCACAAAUGGCCUCAGGCCCGCUGUACUGCUGCAACUAUUAAAACUCCACCAUGGUGUACAUGGAAGGAUGGCUGGUAGAAUAGGACUUACUGGCAAGUAGUGUAUCAGGCAUUUGAGAGAUACAGGGCAAUAGUCAUUAUAAAGACAAUAGAACUAGAUAGUUGUUGUUAGGAAAUAAUCUAUUCUUUGGGGCAAGACCGUAAAAGGCUGAGGGUAAUUAAUCACCUCUUACAGGCUAAGUCAGAAUUCCAGAGGACAUCCUCAGAAGCAUAAAAAGAUACCCUCAUCUCCUAUCAUUGGAGUGCAGAAAAACCUGAGGAAUGAAUUUAGGAUUUAAUUAUGGAAGCACAGAGUUUCAGAGAAGGUUGAGUUCUGAGUUCCACAGACCAGCUCUGCCAAGGUCAGAGCCCUAAUUAUGAAGGAAUGGAACUGCAAUACAUGGGAUGUGGACAACUGAUGUAGGAUUUUUUCUUCUUGGUCACUUUGCAAGCCUGGGACCUCCAGCCAGUGAUGUCCGCCCAGGGCUUGCUUGGCUAUGCUGGUGUGCCUCAGCUUGUCUGUGUUAUAGCUUGUACCCACAUUUGGUGAUUCUCAAGCUCUUGUACCACACCCAAGAAGAUUGAGGAUAUGCUGCACAUUGAAGGGUGAGGAGGGCAGAGAAGAAUUUUACUGAGCGACCGAACAGCUCUCAGUGGAGAGGGGACACAGGGGAUGGUCCCUCACCCCCACAGUCAGGUGGUUCUCUCCUCCUUGCGUAGGUGGGUCUGGGGAUUUUUAUGGACUCAGAAUGGGGAGGGGCAGGCCAUAGGUAGUAUUGGAAAAGGCAACACUCAAUUGGUUAAAAAGUAUUAUUCAGAAAGAAUCAAUAGGGAAAGGGUGAGCAAACAGGAACAGAAGUUCUCAUUCUGGGUCACCGGUUUCAUCUGGGACCAGCAAUCUAGUUUUUCAGCCUUCAAGCUGUUUUUGACUUGAAGGUGGGGUUUCACCAGGGACCCACCCCUAUCUGCCUCAGCAUUUGGCUGACUCCUAUCGCUAUCAAAACUGUGUUAAUGUAUUAGAAACUCUUGAAUCCCCAGAUUCUCCUGUAUCCUCUGGGUCUGCAGAAGCAACCCACUCCUUCCUGUUAAAAGAUGGUACUCUGAUGUGCACCACCACCCCCAAGGAACACCCCUUGGUUUAAGCCAAUGCAAAGUCCUUUGCCUUGCGAGACAGCAUGCACACUCCUCAAGGAUAUGUUCUCAACUCCCCUCCUGACCAAUAAUCAGAAAUAUGUCACAACGUAACCCAACUGUGCUGGGCCUGCUAAGAGAGGAAAGGGAUUACAGCCAGCAGGAGCCACCGGACAUAUAUGCAUAUGCAUACAUUCCAAUAUGCGCUGGCAGGAGCUGGGAGAAUACAUAAAUGACUAGAUUCUAAGGGUACUGGAUCAAGGGGCAUGGGACAUAAAGUUGGUUAGGGGACAGUUUAUCAAUAUGGCAGCACUCUUCUGCAAUACAGAUUUAAUACCCUAUUUAAGGAGGUGAAGCUAACAUAUUUCUAGGAUGGCCCUUAGAAGCUUGGACAAAGUGAAGUAGAAGUGCCAGAAUUGCUGUGGCAGAUGGUGGAAGAGGGAUAGAAACCUUGAGCAGUAGGCCUACUACAGUGGAUAUAAUUAGCAAAACUGGGAAACUCACUCUAUGACUAUGUUUGGUGGGAAGCCCUGGAGGACACACUGUUGAUAAAAUCAAUAAGAAAUGCACUGACAAGAAGGCACCAGAAUCUCUGAGAAGCUUAGUGGUUGGUGAUAGUCUUCUGCAAGGUGGGAGAUCCUGUUGCAGAACUGGGCUCUCUGAUAGUAGAAGGAAAUGACAGAAUUCCAAAAUAAUAGAGUCAGGUGACACUUAAAUACCAGAAGAAAAGUGGGUGCAAUUAUUGUCAUGAAAAGCAAAGCUGAAGUGGAAGCCCAGGAGGCCUGACCUGAGAGCUAUUGAAGCAGCAACUAGAACGUGAUGUCCCUGGAGGUAACUUUCUUCUCCUGUUUAAUAUUGCUGAUAUAUUGAUACACCAUGGAAUAAUAUGUAGCCAUAAAAAAGAAUGAGUUCACGUCCUUUGCAGCAGGAAGCCAUCAUUCUCAGCAAACUAACACAGGACAGAAAACCAAACACUGCAUGUUAUCACUCGAGGAGAUAAUAACUUCAGGGUUACGAAAAAGUUUGCAGGAGGAAUAAGUCCUUUGAAGUACUUUGAGGCCAGCUUCUGUCGCCCAGAAGUCUGAUUGUUCAAGGAAUUAUCUGAGACUGAAGAAACACAGACUUUUUCCCUCGAUUCCCUGAAACUCCCCCUCCCUGACUCGCUGGCCGCAUAAACACUCUCUGCUUCUUCUUUUUGUUAGGGCGGAUUUGAGAGAUCUUGCCCUCCCGCCUUCUCGCUUUGGCCAAAUCGAAUAAACUUUUAUCUCCAAGCACCUAUAUGUCAGUGUUUGGCAUCAGCUACACAUGGGGUACACGAGCCUGAGUCUGGGCUUCUACAACGCUGGGACCCUCGCUGUUCUUUGGAGCUGAUGGUAAAUUCAACAGAAAAGAGGCGCAUGGGUAGAAAAUGCAGCAUUUCCUCUCAGAUGCCAG